rnacentral:rRNA from 1 species
UUCCUACGGGAGGCAGCAGUGGGGAAUAUUGCACAAUGGGGGAAACCCUGAUGCAGCAACGCCGCGUGAGUGAAGAAGUCAUUCGUGAUGUAAAGCUCUAUCAGCAGGGAAGAAAAUGACGGUACCUGAGUAAGAAGCCCCGGCUAACUACGUGCCAGCAGCCGCGGUAAUACGUAGGGGGCAAGCGUUAUCCGGAUUUACUGGGUGUAAAGGGAGCGUAGAUGGCCAGACAAGUCUGAAGUGCAAAUCCAGCGCU